AACGAACGCUGGCGGCAUGCUUAACACAUGCAAGUCGAACGAGACAUUCGGGCCUAGUGGCGCACGGGUGCGUAACGCGUGGGAAUCUGCCCUUUGCUACGGAAUAACUCAGAGAAAUUUGUGCUAAUACCGUAUAAUGUCUACGGACCAAAGAUUUAUCGGCAAAGGAUGAGCCCGCGUAAGAUUAGCUUGUUGGUGGGGUAAAGGCCUACCAAGGCGACGAUCGUUAGCUGGUCUGAGAGGAUGAUCAGCCACACUGGGACUGAGAAACGGCCCAGACUCCUACGGGAGGCAGCAAUGGGGAAUAUUGGACAAUGGGCGAAAGCCUGAUCCAGCAAUGCCGCGUGAGUGAUGAAGGCCUUAGGGUUGUAAAGCUCUUUUACCAGGGAUGAUAACGACAGUACCUGGAGAAUAAGCUCCGGCUAACUUCGUGCCAGCCGCCGCUGUAA
rnacentral:rRNA from 1 species